rnacentral:lncRNA from 1 species
AAGACAUAUGAACAAAAUAUUUAAAUUGCAAUAAAUAUUAACAAAAUAUUGAUAAUGCAAGAAAUAUGAACAAAAUAUUUAAAAUUCAAGAAAUAUUAACAAAAUAUUGAAAAUGCAAGCAAUAUUAACAAAUUAUAUAUAUUAGGAGAUUAAACUUAAUAAAACAAAAAUUAUAAAAUACUUACCUCGUUAGUACGAUUUUGCCCGCUUCUAUAGUUGUCCAUCGCUUUUGCUAGGGCAUUUC